rnacentral:misc_RNA from 1 species
GAACUGCGAUAAGUAAUGUGAAUUGCAGAAUUCCGUGAAUCAUCGAAUCUUUGAACGCACAUUGCGCCCCCUGGCAUUCCGGGGGGCAUGCCUGUCCGAGCGUCAUUGCUGCCCUUCAAGCCCGGCUUGUGUGUUGGGUCGUCGUCCCCUCCGGGGGACGGGCCCGAAAGGCAGCGGCGGCACCGCGUCCGGUCCUCGAGCGUAUGGGGCUUUGUCACCCGCUCGAUAAGGACCGGCCGGGCGCCAGCCGGCGUCUCCAACCUUUUUUUCUCAGGUUGACCUCGGAUCAGGUAGGGAUACCCGCUGAACUUAAGC